UGAUUUCCGUGCGGCGUUGCCACAUUAGGUCUGUACAUUCUGCACCCGUUACCCGCUUCGACGACUAUCAGUCACACUGACAGUUUAUCGUUUCCUCCACUAUCCUAUUAAAUAUUGCACAAUUACAUUUUCUAGGCCGAACGGUGAUAUUUAUCGUACCUACACGAUUGGAGUACCAAAAGACUCUCGUGCUUCAUAAACGCGUCAUCGCUUCCCGGAAUCACCGAUGAAACUUAAUUGCUAACAGGAAAAAGAGAUUGUCUCGACUGAUUUUUAUAUUCAUUCCAUUUGCUUCGUACGAUGUUGAUUACAUUUGCUUUUAUUCAUUAGCAAACGUGUUAUUCGAAUUUCUUAUCAAGAAAUACGAAGAGAAAUAAGUUGAAUCAUAAGAAUUUGUCUCCUGUUGAUAAACGAUUGACUAAUAAUGACAAAAUUUGUUAUCGAAAAAUACGAAAAGAAGUGAAAAGAAUCAUAUCAUAGAUUUUUGCCCUUAUAGAUAAACGAUUAGUUAAGAAUUUGAAAACAAUUUAUAUUAUGUCAAAGAUCUAAUCAAGAAAUACGAAGAGGAAAAAGGAUCACCAGAGAUUUACAAAUUAACGUGUUGUUUCACGCAUAGACAAGUAAUUAAUUAAGAAUUUGAAAAUUGUCUGUAUUAUGUCUAGAGAUAUAAUCAAGGAGCACGAAUUGAAGUAAGAAGUAUCAUUGGAAAUUUUUAAAUUAAGAGUAUUAUUUUCUUUGUAGAUAUCGGCCAUGUUUUCUUUUAUUCAUUGACAAAUAUUUCAUUAAGAACUUGAAAAUUUUCGAUUUUUUGUUAAAAGAUUUAAUCGAGAAAUACUAAAAGAAGUAAAAAAGAUAAAUUACAAAUUUUGAAAUUCAAGCUAUUUCUUUCGCCGAGAAAUCUAAUCGAAAAAUGCAAAGAGAAGUAAGAAAAGUAUCAUUGCAUAUGUCAGAAGUCAUAAAAUGACGUCACAACUACUCAAUCUCAAAGGAAACAUUGCCGAAAAGUGCAUUUGUCGAGGUCGUCUCAAGAACGGUAUGCCGUCGUGGUCAUGUUAUCAUCGUAGCCGUAGUUGUCAUCGACGUCGAGAAGAUACGAGAGAAGGCCGAUUAUGUGUCGCGUAGAGCGCGCACAGACCAAUCAUCGAUCAUCAGCUUUGGAAGCGCACGUGACUCAGUUGGCAACGUUGCAAAGGCGUUGUCGCGAUAUUCCGCUUGUAGUUGUCCGUCAGGAGUUUACAGAGAUCCGCCUUGAGGAAAGGUUCCCUUCUGAGGUCGAGAAGAAAACAGAACGAGAGAGCAGGAGGAGAAAAAGAAGGACGAAAGGGAAGCACUCAUAGAAAAAAGAAAAAGAGAAAAAAGGAGAGGCAACGCGAGUAGAAGGUAUACGUUCUGCUCUCCUCAGCCCGGAAAGAUGAGACUACUAUUCGUUUGGAUCUGGAACAGCUUUUCCUAACUGCGAUGGAAUUACACAAAGGGGAAAAAACUGACAUUGAGAGAACUAACACGAAGAAACGAGAUGAAAAAUAAAGUUAGAUAUACUGUUUCGUAGUAUACCUAACUUAAUCUUAAUGCAUUCCUAACCUCUAAAUUUACACGAGUACAUUCGGGAUGCCUAUCUCGAAAGGUUAUGCAGAAGGAUGGAAAAUAAUUGGAAAAUGAUCUACAAAAACGGAUGACAAUUUCUGAUUUUGCUCUUUUUUGAUCUUCCUUCGACGAUGAUGAAGAGAAAACGAAAUAUAUAUAUAUGUUUUCGUAAAACGAAAAGGAAAUUUUCAACAGAUCGUUAUUUUUCGUAACGACACACAGAGACAAUGGCCGGCAAGCGAGACACCUGCGUGCUGGUGAUGAUGUCGGCAGGUGAGAGAACGGGUAAAAUGAGUAAGUAAGAAGGAGGAGGAGGAGGAGGAGGAGGAGGAGGAGGAGGAAGAGGAAAAUGACGACGACGACGAAGACGACAACGACGACAACGACGACGACGACGACGACGACAAGAGGAGAAGAGAGGGAGGGAGAGAGAAAGGGAGGGCGCGCCGAUGAUAGAUAAACAGAGUAUACUACGCGCAUACUCACGACGAUAUUACGAGGACGUAACACGACGUCGACACGCGCGACGCCGAAUCAAACUCUAUUGUAGCAGUAGUAGUAGCAGUAGCAGUGAAGUAGUAGUAAUACUGGUAGUGUAAUAGUAGUAGAGCAGAAAAGUAGCAAUAGAAGUAGUAAUAAUACUAGUAGUGUAAUAGUAGUAGAGCAGUAAUAGUAAUAAUGUAGUAGUAAUAAUAAUAACAAUAGUAAUAUUACAAAACCAACGAAUUAUUGGGUGAAAAAUUGAACAUGAAAGUAGCUAACACAGAAAUGGAAGGUAAAAUUCUGAAGUCGAUUCGUUUUUUGGGCGAUGUCGCGACUACUACUACACUACUAGACGAAAACGACGACAAUGCCGACGACGAAGCAAGUCCAAUGGAUGUACGCAUUCACACAUGAAACAGUUGAAACACUGCUAUUUUACAAACCAUACACUACACUCUUGGCACAUAACAGAUCACGAAACACACGCAAGAGAGAGAAAGAGAGAUACAGCAUAGGUCCUUUCUUUUCUUCUUCCUUUUUUCCUCUCUGCGGAGCAAACGACUCCUUGCGGAACGCACGAAACGUACCUCUUGCGAAUCUCCAACGACUCGCCUCCUUUCGUCGAUGCACACGGCGAGACGUUGGGGACUCGCCUGGACGAAUCCGCGACGAAAUUAAUUACGAACGCACGGGAUGUGGCGUGCAAACAAACGGACUGCUAAGAGUACCAAAGAGACGACAGCGUGAGGAGAUGAGUGAGUGAGAGAGGAAACGAGAAGGUAGAAGACGAAGAGAUAGAUAGAUAGAUAGAUAGAAUAAAAGAGACAGAGAGGGUGAGGAGUCGAAGGUAGAGGAGGAGGAAGAGGAGGAGGAGAGAAAGACGAUUGCAAUGACGACACAAUCGCACCACGAAACACACACCAAGCAAGACUCGAGAGCACUGACGGCUAGUACGCGAUAGCAGCGCCACGAGGCGUCACUCGUCCACGUUAACGACCACGGGACGAUGUUCCGCCGGCGCGCAUUGGUGGGGAGAACUCUGGUGGGGGGAGCCACCGACUAAUCUAUCCUCUCUCCGUCAUAACUCUGCUCUUUCGUUGCUUCAACGAUUAGUGCUUUUCUUUCAAAUUUAACGAAAUGUCCCUCUAUGAUUCCUUGUCUCAGAAUCGUUCUUACUUUUCUGAUAUACCUUUGAUAAGAAUUUUCAAAUGAUUGUAUGAUGAUGAUGUCGAGUUGUUUACCAAUAAUGACAUCUUCCGAUGUCCAUCUCUUGUUUCAGAGUUUUAACGAAUGGAGGAUAGCAUUAUAAAGAACACAAUGAUCGAUAGCCGUUGGAUUGCUUUUUUCUACGAUCGAUGCUAAAUACUUCAUGCCUAAAUUGUAUUUAAUACUUCAGGUAUACUGUUUCUUUCACGAGCUAUGAAUUCUCAUUUCGCGCAAGGAAACAGAUUAAAGAGCAGCAUCGAAGCGCGAAUGUUCGAAUUGAAAGACGGUGCGUUAUGGGGAAUGACGUGGUACAUGUGGUAUUUCCGAAGCGUCUAGACUCGCUAAUUUAAACCGACUCUCGCAAAUCUACACACAACGACGAUGGUUCAACUCAGUCUAGCCCCUGUCACAACUAACGACUGAAAUAUGAGAAACAUCGUCGUCCAUGCGCAGUUUCAUCCUUUCUUCCUAUAAAUUACGCGCUGUGGAUUUAAAUCUCGAUGGGCACGAUAUAAAGAGUCUCUUUCUCUCUUUUUCUUCCUCUCUCUCUUUUCUUACUGAGAGAGACUUUAAUUACGUGUCCAUGAUUUAGUACCGAUCGGGUGACGCGCAUGUCGUGUAAUUAAAGAGAAACAGGACGAGAGAGAUGAGCCAGUGUUCUUUUUAACGACUACUUGAAAUAAAACGCGUUUGCUGCUAAGUAUCUGUCACAUUUACAUUCCGAUAUGCUGUUACAAAUUUUCAAAUACAGCUGUUCGAUGACAAGAAAUCACAAAUUGCGAAACGUCGAGCCAAAGUUUCCAUAGAGCGAUGAGUGCUGCUUUCUCCAGAGAACUGAAGAAAUUGUUUAUAAAAUAUACAAUAUAUAUAUGUAUAUAUAUAUAUAUAUAUAUAUACACACCAAUGCUUGAAAAAUAUGCUUUUCCAGUAAUGUGCUCACGCUAAAAAGUUUAUGAUAGAAGAUAGAUGAUAGAUGAUAGAUGAUAAAAGAUAGAUGAUAGAAAUGACUUCAAAAUGAUAAAAUACAAGUACAAUGAUGUGUUUGACAUAUUAAAAAACGUUUAUAACGGAGCUAUAAAUAUUUCAGAAAAAUUAAAAGAAAUAUGUUUGGUAUAGCUGUUUAGUCCUGGACGUUUGGAUAAUGUUAACAACACCAAACCCAGGGUGGAGCGAUACAUACCAAUUUUCAUUCUUCCUUCGUGUUGAACCGCACUUUCUUUUAAGACAGAAAAUGCAGUGUGUUUAACGAAGGGUAUGAUAUAUACAUCGUGUUGACAACGAAAGAAGAUAGAUAAAAUCCUCACAGUUUUAGGAAUAUAUAAACGCUUUUGUAUAUAACAGCAGAAAAGAAAAACUGUUGGAGAUAGUGAGAAACAAAGAAAGUUAGAGGAGAAACACAUCAAAACACCAACAGCAGGCCAGAAGAGAGAGAGAGAGAGAGAAAAGGAAUAACGAAGCGCCGCAAAGAACGGUGGGGUCACCCAUCCAUUCCUUAAACGCUAUGAAUAGAUGUUUAACUGAAAUAAGCGAACUUAUGAUGAACGUGCACUUCGACCAAAUAAUAACUUUAAAUUCCUAUUAUAAAUAAUUAAUAUUAGCAUUGUAUUAUUUUUAUGGUAUAUUUUUAAAAUUAGUUAAUAAUUAUUUAUUAAUCGACAUUCAAGGAACGAUAAGAAUAAUCCUAAUACCAGUCAUUGAAUGUAUGAUCAAACUGGAGAGGUGUCUGUUUUAGAAUCUUUUGUAAUUGUAAUAUAAUAAUAAGAUUAAAUAUGACUUCGGAUGCAUUUAGAUACUUAAACAAAUUAA